AGAGCACUAUCCUCUACAGCUGUUGUACUCUGGAUGACUCUACACUGAAUUUACUGUAAACAUAAACUCUUUCUCAAAAGGUUUGGAAUAUUCCUGUUGGAGCUUCCCAGACAUAUCCACAUUUUGCCUCACUUCUGCCUGUCUGAUAGCUGUACCUGAGGAUUAUUGAUCUCUAGAAGGUGCCAAGCUCACCUUCUGAGGUACAUCAGCACUGCUAUUAAUGGAAUAUGCUGUACUGAGACCCAUAAGGCUAUACCUGAGGAUCAGGUCCUGUACUACGAGAUGCCAUUGUUAAUUAAACUGAAGGUUAAUUAAACUUUCCCUCUUUUUCCCAGUAUUUCUGAGCAUAGAGGACAUAAAGAAUUGCUAUUGCAUCACGCUAAGGUAAAAGUGUAUGCUGUCCAAGGGUUACUGCACAGAACGAAGAGUCUCAGCUCCUGGACUUAAUUUCCUGUUUUGAAAUCAACUUUGGCAUGUCACAGCUGGGGCCUGUUAUUGUGAGAGCUGCUAAACACUGUGAUUCCUGCUGAAUUCUGAGAGCUGCAGGUAUGCAGCAUUUCUGAAAAUGCAAGUUGAAUUGUGUGAAGUUAAAUU
rnacentral:lncRNA from 1 species